UACGUAGGGUGCAAGCGUUGUCCGGAAUUAUUGGGCGUAAAGAGCUCGUAGGCGGUCUGUCGCGUCUGCUGUGAAAACUCAGGGCUUAACCCUGAGCUUGCAGUGGGUACGGGCAGACUAGAGUGCGGUAGGGGAGACUGGAAUUCCUGGUGUAGCGGUGAAAUGCGCAGAUAUCAGGAGGAACACCAGUGGCGAAGGCGGCACUCUGGGCCGGAACUGACGCUGAGGAGCGAAAGCGUGGGGAGCGAACAGG
rnacentral:rRNA from 1 species